rnacentral:rRNA from 1 species
GAUGAACGCUGGCGGCGUGCCUAAUACAUGCAAGUCGAGCGAACAGACGAGGAGCUUGCUCCUCUGACGUUAGCGGCGGACGGGUGAGUAACACGUGGAUAACCUACCUAUAAGACUGGGAUAACUUCGGGAAACCGGAGCUAAUACCGGAUAAUAUAUUGAACCGCAUGGUUCAAUAGUGAAAGACGGUUUUGCUGUCACUUAUAGAUGGAUCCGCGCCGCAUUAGCUAGUUGGUAAGGUAACGGCUUACCAAGGCAACGAUGCGUAGCCGACCUGAGAGGGUGAUCGGCCACACUGGACCUGAGACCCGGUCCAGACUCCUACGGGAGGCAGCAGUAGGGAAUCUUCCGCAAUGGGCGAAAGCCUGACGGAGCAACGCCGCGUGAGUGAUGAAGGUCUUCGGAUCGUAAAACUCUGUUAUUAGGGAAGAACAAAUGUGUAAGUAACUAUGCACGUCUGGACGGUACCUAAUCAGAAAGCCACGGCUAACUACGU